UACGGGGGGAGCAAGCGUUGUUCGGAUUUACUGGGCGUAAAGGGCGCGUAGGCGGUCAGCACAAGUCAGUUGUGAAAUCCCCGGGCUUAACUCGGAAAGGUCAACUGAUACUGUGCGACUAGAGUGCGGAAGGGGCAACUGGAAUUCUUGGUGUAGCGGUGAAAUGCGUAGAUAUCAAGAGGAACACCUGCGGCGAAGGCGGGUUGCUGGGCCGACACUGACGCUGAUGCGCGAAAGCCAGGGGAGCGAACGGG
rnacentral:rRNA from 1 species